rnacentral:rRNA from 1 species
GUGAGGAAUUUUCCGCAAUGGGCGAAAGCCUGACGGAGCAAUGCCGCGUGAAGGAUGAAGGCCUAUGGGUUGUAAACUUCUUUUCUCAGAAAAGAAUUAUGACGGUAUCUGAGGAAUAAGCAUCGGCUAACUCUGUGCCAGCAGCCGCGGUAAGACAGAGGAUGCAAGCGUUAUCCGGAAUGAUUGGACGUAAAGCGUCUGUAGGUUGUUUAAAAAGUAUUCUGUCAAAGAUUAGGGCUUAACCCUAGAUAGGCAAUAAACUUUUAAGCUAGAGUUUGGUAGAGGCAGAGGGAAUUCCCGGUGGAGCGGUGAAAUGCGUAGAUAUCGGGAGGAACACCAAAGGCGAAGGCACUCUGCUGGGCCAAUACUAACACUGAGAGACGAAAGCGAGGGGAGCAAAUGGGAUUAGAUACCCGAGUAGUCC